AAAUUUUUUAUAAAAUUAUAAGUAUUCACAUUAACGUCGCGACCUAAUUACAUUUUAUUUUCCAUAUCCAUGAACAACUUGCAGACUAAUGACAAUUCUUCACCGCGUUUCAAUGCAUUCAAUGCAAUUAUAGAUAAUUAUUUAUGACUCACCAAGGAAGAGAAUAUAUGAUAUGUAAUAUCGUAAUGGCUAACAAUAAGUAUGAGAUAGAAAUUGCGACCAAGACAAACCAAAGAAAUGGGAACUUUUGUAGUUCGUAACGAAUGCAGUAAAAAUGUUAUCUAUUUAUGACGCAUUCGUUAUAGCAAAUGCAAUAUCGCGUAACGCUGAUAAUAAUAAAAACUAGAAGGUAUAAGAAAAUAAGUAGACUAAGAAAUCAUUGUUUGUUAGAAAAAUACGAAUUAAUUAUUUCAAUGCAGUGGAAGGAUCUAUUCAAUUGAUAAAACGUAUCUUAGUGACUUAUUACAGCUAAUUGCUAUGUAUAAUGAUGUAGACUAUUAAAAUUUUCCAUUGAUUAUCCAGUUACAUAAACUAGAUUAGACAUAGAGUCAUUAAAGAAGGGAUUAAACAAAAUUGAAAAAAUUAGUAUCUUUGAACAUUGACAUCUUCGAAUCUCGUCAAAUUAUUCGGAAUAUUUCAUGAGAACUUUCAAGUUGAAAGAAAGGGAAGCUGAAAAGUAAUUAUGGAAGUCGCGCGCUAAUAUCGUUACAGUGGAAAAAUAAACCAACGACUCGUUCUUGCGUAAGAGUUCAAGUGGGCGUUCGAGGAUUUUUAUAAUUUCGUCUCGUUUAUUUUCUUUUUUUUUUUUGUUCCGUUUGGCUCGCAUUAAAUAACCAGCCUGACCAUUCUCGGCAAAGUUCAACCCGAUUUGUGACUUUCACUGCUCACGGCUACUUCUCCGCUCGCUUCACCUUUUUCACCUUCUUCAUUUUUCUUUUUUUAUUCUUAUUUCACUUGAUCAUUCCCUAUCUCCGACUGCUUUCGUUUUCGGGCGCACCGGUUUCGGUUAUCUCUUUAGUGAAAUCGUUACUUUCUGCCUUGCACCAGAUAUUAUUCCCAGCAAAAUCCUCAGAAUUCAUAUUUGGAGCAAACAAAGUUGAAUGGGAUUUAUUGGACUCUUGAUAUUGAAUAAUAUCAGAGACAAAAGCAACGUCCAUAGAAUGUUAAUCAGGUCAGAAUUUUUUAAGCGCACAAUUUAUUCAGGUAGUUUCUAUUAGAAUUCUAAUGAAGAGUGGAAAAUAGAAUAUUGUUAUGUUAGCGUAUAGUAAUUUUGUAUGGUGGUGAUUCAUUAAAUCGAGCAGAAAAUUUGCCACAGCUUCUGGUCUCGCUCUAUUAAUCGCAUAACUCGUGCGACGAAAGCAAAAAGAAGCAUUCAUUUUGUCAAGCGCAAUCUACCGCGCCAAUCGCAUUGAACUUUCUACUUUGUUUCGAGAGAAAGUCGCGUUUUGCAGCUUCGUUACAUCAAAAUUAUCUUUAAUUUUCUUUUAUUCUACCGUUUCUUGUUUGAUUUUCAAUAGUCUGGACUGCUCCAAAUAUUCAUCAUUUAAAUAUUCAUUAUCCUACAUUUAAGCACGAAAUUAAACCAACGUUAUUAUUCUCGUUUAAUCUUUCGUUCAACUAAAGACACCUGUAUUUUUGUCAUUACCAUAGAUAUAUAAUGUCUCAGACUAUUUGGUAAUUUCUUUCAUUAAAUUAUUAAAUCACUGUAUUAUAGAAGUGAAUUCGAUAUUAAAUAUUUAUUAUUAAGGCUCCUUUUUCCAAAAUUCCUAAUAUAUAAAUUCAGUCUUCUCUCGAAUACAAAUGUCUAUAGUUGAGGUUUAAUUAGUAACAUUUUAACUUCGUUAAGUUACCGAGAUCAUAAGACUAACAAACAUUAAAAUUGUACCAAAAAAACGAUUCUUUAAGAAUAAUGUUUCGUAUUAAUUAGUAUGCAAAGAAAAACAACUCGUUAUCUAAGUUAUCAUAAUUGGAAAGUAAUGCUGGAGUAUUUCUCAAUUAGCUCGAACACGUUAAUAGUAUAGUCUAGAUAAAGGAUAAAAAUAAACUGCAUGGUUUAGAUUGUACACAACGAUCGCAAUGCACUUUUAACCCCUGAAUCGCAUUUACUUGUGCAAGAUUAAAUCAGAAAUCCUUUCACUUUCACGGGCUUCAAGGCGAGGAUCUCACGUGCGACACGUUUCUGUCGCCCACGUUAACCGGAAUAACAAUAAACGGGACAAUUCGUGACUUCAUGAUAUAUUUUAACAAUUACGUUAAUACAUUGCAUCUGUAAGAAUCGUAUGAAACCAGAGAAAUCAAUUCACACAACUCAACUUUUAUAAAAGAUUUAAUUAAUCAUCUGUUUACUAACAAUCCAUAUUUAUAAAUAAUUUAAUAAUAUAUUCCAUACGAAGUUUAUAUGAAAAGACAAUUUGCUCGUGCAUAUUGAAUUCUCUGGCUCAAUUUUAUCCGUUUUAUGAAAAUAUACUGUACCAGACUAUUGUUAUGUGAUCAUCGAUAUUACGUUACGGAAUUUUAUUGUAGUUCGCAGAAACGAUUUCGAUCAAUUCUUUAUGUAGAAACCAUUUAGGUUUUUACGUGUUUGGGAACACGUUUGGCUGAACAAUACCUACAGCUGUAAACUUGUGUGAAUAAUUGAGGAGAUAAUUACUUGGGUAUUUAAAUUUUGCUACAAAAGAAUUUUUUUUUAGAUACUAUUUUAUACUCUUGUUCUAGGUCGCUAAUAUUUUACAUAAUUUUAUAGGUGAACUACUUUAUUAUUUCUUAUUACUAUUUCUUUUUUCUCUCAAGUUCUUUAUAGAACGUUUAAAUGUAUUUGUAAUUGCAAUGCAAUGCAAUGCAAUGCAAUACGAAGACCUAUGAUUUAUGUAAAUCUUGAAAUCGUGUUAGGACGUAAUGUUGCUCAUCUUAUGUAACGGAUCUGCAUGCAUCAUAAUAUGAUAUGCAACGUGAUCCAUUUAUAACGGAGUAUAAAUUAAUGAGAUAAUGCAUGUACGGCUGAAUGCGGAACGAUCUUCUUGACGUACUUCACUCAUCUUGUGUCAGUGUUCAUUCCAAUAAACGAAAACGAAAAAUAUUAACAAUCAUCUCAUUAGUUGAAAGGUUGAAAUACGACUUCGACGCGUGAAAUCAAAUAUGCUAACGACAUGUAAAUUAUUCUUAUUCCUAGAGUAAGGAAAUAAAGGCGGUUUAAAAAGCGAGCACUUAAAGGGACUCACAUGAUGGUAGAAAGUGGUGUGGCAGUGGCGAACGUUCUCAAUCGUGCUGGGCAACGCAGCUGUUCGAUGUUCCAGGUAAGUUGAACCAGGUGAAGUCGACGUACGCCUUUAUAUUACCUUGGAGCCCGGACAGUUUGGUCUUGACGCCACCUCCAAUAUCUGUGCUCUCUCGUCUCGUUCCUUUCUUUUCCUCGUGUCAAGUGCUUCGAUCUUAAGCCCCCACCUCACUCUCUCUCACUCUCUGCUAACUUCAGUUAGGGACAGCCGAGCGUAGAUAGUGACAAUCGGAUUACUGGAAGGCCGGUUUGGCAAGCUUUCCGAUACGAAGUAGACCUGGAGAUGGAAAUCUGGCGUUUAUUACUAUGGUGUUAGCCUUAAUUUAAAAAGAAUAUUAAACAAUACAAAGAGAGAAAUAUUAGAAAAUUAGAAAUGCUAAAAUUUUUGGUUCGUUAGAAUUUCUAACCUUUCUUUUUUUAAAUCAAGUGUAAUGUCUGUAUUCUUUAAUAUUUGCAUACGCCUGUUAUCACAGUAAUUAUAUUAUUAUAAAAAUUAUUGGACUACAAUAUACAAUGGAUGACAUUUGAUACAAAAAAAGUGCAUAGUUAUUCGACUAGUCUUGAUUUCAAACUGGUGUACAUAAUCAAUAAGUAAAUUUCUUUUUCGGUUGACCAUGUUCCUGGGCUUGCAAGCAACAUUUCAAUUUAGAGGUAACGUUUGUUUAGUAUGCAUUAUCUCAAUUAUGCACAAGAUUCGUUGCUCAUUCUUAAUUACUUAGAAAAUUCUAUAGGUAAACUGAACGCGAAUAGAAAUGAAUUUUCUCUUCUGACAUACAGUCGUUUGAAUUCUAGCAAUUCGGUCACUUCCUCGACGCCACUGUAAAUCGGUACUUCAAUUCCGUGAACAUCGGUUAUUCAAUCCCAUUCUUGUAUAUGCGCCUAUGCAAUUAGCGAAUAAUUUAUUCCAUACCACUGGACAACCAGUCUUGGAACAUUUUCCUAUUUAAAAUUGUAUGGAAGUCUAUGUAAAAUUUGGCGUGGCUAAUCUUCCAUCAGAAUAAAGUUCCAGCGCCUACGAUAUAUCGAUUUCUAUGUGUCAUUAAAAAUAACUUUCACUUUUGCUUUCGGUUCGCGUUAUUUCGUUUAUUAGUUAUGUAUUCCUUUCAAACUACGUAUUCCUCGGUUCCACGUUGCGUACACUGGUUCUACACGUUUCUGAAAGUACUCCCGAUUCUUUAAAACAACCUGGUCGCGAUCAUUAACGCUUUCAAACAUACGUAUGAUCUUACUAGAUUCCAUGACAGAAAUUAAUAAAUUCCUCAAUUCUCGAAGUCUUAACACAUGUAGUAUAUAACGUGGAAUAUAGAAAUACAAGAAUUUAUAACCACGUUACUUAUAACCACAUAACUUUCCUUUUUUUUCUUUUUUAAUAAAUUGCUUUGAUUUUAACAAAUGUUACCAGAGAACUGCCGCUAUAUUGUUAAUGUUUUACAGAAAUAAGAAUAAAAUUACAAAUUCUCGACAUCGUGAACCAAUCAAGCAUUGGUCAUACUAUGGUUCAUUAAUAUUACGUGGUUGACAAAUAUGUCGAAAGAAUAUUAUGCUUCGCCAUAUCUCGUCAAACAACUGCUCUUUCUCUGAGGGAAUGUGCAAGUUUUGCGCAAUCCGUGAAUUACAUAGAAAGGACCCGAAAGCAUGAAGUUAUGAUUAUGGUGAUCACGUAGCUAGUAGCUCAUAUGGGAGCUCGUUGUUAAAGGAAAUUCUACAAAUUACAAGCAUUUCGUGCUCUCCUUCUUUCUUUUCAAAAACUUUCUUUCUUUUGUUCUCGAUAACGACACCUUUGUUAUAUAACGAACACGCUAUCUGACACCUACUAAUCACUACUAUUACGUAAAUGUAAUUUACCAAGAAUCUGAAUUCGACGAAAUAGAAGAAAUUAAUAAACGCAAAAAUUCUCUGUGGAGAAAGGAGAAUAUUUUUUUUGCAUUUCUUAAACAAUUGUAUCGCAGAUAAGGAAUAAAAUGAAAUUAAUGUGUUUGUGUGCCGCGUUACCCACUUAUGAAGCCGAUGGAAAUGUAUCAGUGGGUCACUGGAGACAGAGUUUACUUCCACUGACCUCCAUUUUCAUUUCUCCUCCUCCACGAACUCUCCAUUUCUUUUUAUGGGAAAUGGGACAUCUUUAAAGAUACAAAGAUCGUCUCGAAUAUCAAUCUCUGAAGAGAACAACAUUACAUUCGUAUAAUUCCGAAGAAUGAUAUAUUUGCUCGCGCAUGAUACGAUAAUUAUUUAACUACUUACAUAUAUGUAUAAUUGCCUUAAAAUUAUAAUUCAGUUAUUUUAUACCUUCAAUUUCUCAAUCGCACAAUAAAUGGUAGAAUUUUACACAUCAGAAUCAUCGCACAAUUCUCGCUAUUCUCUUCGAUUAAUUGUGGAGAAAAAUAGAUAUCGUUCGUGUAUAUCACAAGAUAUUUCCAUCGUGGUUGAUUUCUCUCAUAAACUGGAAAUUUGAUGUUGAUCUGGCCAUUAAACACUGAAAAGGCGAAACGGUAUAAGUGGUGAAAAUCAUGCAACUAGGUGUGAUCGUAGUUCAUCAUCGCAUCAAUUGCGGUUAACGCAGAGAAACUGGAUUUUAUGGCCACAUUCUUUUUUCAUUUAGCAAACUGCUUUCUAUGCUAACGAAUCGUCUAUUGAAACUAUCAAUUAGAGUCACACGUUGAACUUUGUGAACGAAUUAAGCCACUUCUGCCAUGACUACUGCCCUCCCACGUUCCUUAAACGACUUUCUUAAUUUAAUCAAAGAGAAAGAGAAAGGAUAAUCCGUCAUAGAAUUCAUUAUUAUCUAUCUACUCAAUGCCCUUCGUCGAGUAUGAAUUAUGGCUGUCUGGUUGACACAAUUUUCCAUCUACCUAGGUUAUAGGAUAUAGCGUUGCUGCGCUUAAUUAUUGCAAAUGUUUCAUCAUCAAGGAUUAUCACGUUUAAUUUUUUACACGUGUGUAAUAAGAUCAUGGCGAGACUGUCAAUUGCAAAAGCAAUUAGCCACGAAGAAUGUAAAUAAUAUGAUAAUUCAAUUCAUUUAAAAGUUGUCAUAUAACUAAUUUUUAUGGAAAAUUUCAUUCGAAAGGUUACUGUGAACGUUUUCAUUUUUAAGUGGAAGGUGACCACACCUCUCGUAUAUAGAAUAAACGAAAGUUUAGCCUCAGGCCGUAUCAACAAAUGACAAACGCGUUCUUUUUCUUAUUUAAUAACGUAACGAAUUAGAAUAUAGGUGUAACAAUAGUUAAAGGAUAAAAGGAAAGUAGUUCCGGAAAGUGGUUGAACCCAGGAAAAAUUUAGUUUGGAAUUAUUUUCUAUCAUAUUUUGUACAAUUAUCAUAUUUAUUCUAAGUUCGUAAUAUUACAUUAGACAACCACGAUAAAAUGGCACGAUUAUCGAAGCUCCGAUCUAAGUGUGCAAGACAGAUAAUAAAAAGAAAUUCUUAUCGACGCAGAGAAACGAUCGUUGAUCCCUCAAGGAUUUUUGUCGUAAUAUACCCUUAACUUCUAGUACAAUAGUAACAAGCGGCAAAUAAAUAAUAAUUGCAUCGGGAAGAAGAAAAAUAGUAAAUAGAGAUAGGAACGAGAUGAACACAGAAUCAAGGCAAGCUUAAGUAGUGCGCAAAGAAUAUUCAAAAUUAACUUCCCUGUAUUAAACAGGAAGCACGAAAAAUCCGGAAAAGAAA